GCACAAGCAGCGGAGCGUGUGGUUUAAUUCGAUGUUACACGAAGAACCUUACCAGGGUUUGACAUGCAAGUGGUAGGAAGCCGAAAGGUGACCGACCUUCGGGGAGCUUGCACAGGUGCUGCAUGGCUGUCGUCAGCUCGUGUCGUGAGAUGUUCGGUUAAGUCCGCUAACGAGCGCAACCCUCGCUGUGUGUUAUAUGUGUCACACGGGACUGCCGGUCUUAAGCCGGAGGAAGGUGGGGAUGAUGUCAAGUCAGCAUGACCUUUAUAUCCAGGGCUACACACACGCUACAAUGGUCUGUACAAUUGGUUGCCAAGCCGCGAGGCGGAGCCAAUCCGUAAAGCAGGCCUCAGUUCAGAUUGCAGUCUGCAACUCGACUGCAUGAAGCCGGAGUUGCUAGUAACCGCAGGUCAGCAAUACUGCGGUGAAUACGUUCCCGGGUCUU
rnacentral:rRNA from 1 species